rnacentral:rRNA from 1 species
GAUGAACGCUGGCGGCGUGCCUAAUACAUGCAAGUCGAGCGAACAGACGAGGAGCUUGCUCCUCUGACGUUAGCGGCGGACGGGUGAGUAACACGUGGAUAACCUACCUAUAAGACUGGGAUAACUUCGGGAAACCGGAGCUAAUACCGGAUAAUAUAUUGAACCGCAUGGUUCAAUAGUGAAAGACGGAUUUGCUGUCACUUAUAGAUGGAUCCGCGCCGCAUUAGCUAGUUGGUAAGGUAACGGCUUACCAAGGCAACGAUGCGUAGCCGACCUGAGAGGGUGAUCGGUCACACUGGAACUGAGACACGGUCCAGACUCCUACGGGAGGCAGCAGUAGGGAAUCUUCCGCAAUGGGCGAAAGCCUGACGGAGCAACGCCGCGUGAGUGAUGAAGGUCUUCGGAUCGUAAAACUCUGUUAUUAGGGAAGAACAAAUGUGUAAGUAACUAUGCACGUCUUGACGGUACCUAAUCAGAAAGCCACGGCUAACUACGUG